rnacentral:rRNA from 1 species
GGGGAAUUUUCCGCAAUGGGCGAAAGCCUGACGGAGCAAGACCGCGUGGGGGAUGAAGGUUUGUGGAUUGUAAACCCCUUUUGAUUGGGAAGAAUACUGACGGUACCAAUCGAAUAAGCCUCGGCUAACUCCGUGCCAGCAGCCGCGGUAAUACGGAGGAGGCAAGCGUUAUCCGGAAUUAUUGGGCGUAAAGCGUCCGUAGGUGGUUUAGUAAGUCUGCUGUUAAAGCGCGGGGCUUAACUCCGUAUCGGCAGUGGAAACUACUAGACUAGAGUGUGGUAGGGGUAGAGGGAAUUCCCAGUGUAGCGGUGAAAUGCGUAGAUAUUGGGAAGAACACCGGUGGCGAAAGCGCUCUACUGGGCCAUAACUGACACUGAUGGACGAAAGCUAGGGGAGCGAAAGGGAUUAGAUACCCCU